rnacentral:tRNA from 1 species
GCGGAGGUCGCCUAGUCCGGCAUGGCGACAGACUGCAGAUCUGUUUAUCGCGUGUUCGAAUCACGCUCUCCGCU